AACGCGCUCGGCUAGCAAUGCACGCCUGUGGUUCAGCCGGCUAGUCCUGUGCGUCGUUGUGUGGCGGAUCCGAACGGACCGUCCGCGGCGGCGGCGCUGGGCGAGCUGUGGUGCACUCCAUGGGCAUGCGCGUCAGCGUCGGUUCUCGGCGAGUGAUGAGGUGCCGGGGGAAGGUGGCUCGCCUCUUCGGAGGGGAGUGUUAUAGACCCUGGUGCUGGGCUCGCUGUGGACCGAGGAGAGAGAUGAUCGCUGCGGCACCUGCCUCUCGGGGCUAGCCAGCUGUUGUCAGAUGUGUGUCAGGCGUUGAGGACUGCACGCAGUGCUUGGUGUCUUGGC
rnacentral:rRNA from 1 species